AAAUGCAGUUCAAAACAGUCCGCCGCCGAGGGCUGCCGCUUCUUUAAGAGGACUCCCGGCCGGGCUCAAGCCAGUGGACACCUCUGGAAGGCACCUCCUGGGUCCGAAGCCCCACACCCUCCUCCUGCAAACACAAAAAAGCCUUCCUCCCCAAACUCCUUUCUCUCUCUGGGCUACCAGUCACUACCCUCUCCACUCCCCAGGGCUCUGCCCCUGAUUGAGGGUGGAGUGGUGGCCUCAGUGACUAAGUGACACCACCUGAUCUGGCAUUGACUUUGGGGCAGCGCAUCCUGGCCACUGAUAAAACCUGGAGAGGCAGCUCUUUACGCCCUCAACCGCAGGUCCUCUCUCAGCCCUCCUGUCUCCGGUCCAGAGAUCAGAGAUGCCGAUUGCCCAGCUUCUGUGUAUGUGGGGAGACAGCAGACAGGAGGCGUGGGAAGGCGAUGGCUCGUCAGCUCUUCUAAACCUACCAGGGUUCCAUAGUUGACAGUGCCCAAUAAGCAUACUAGCUCACUAUAUCGAGCACUUACUAAGCGAGCAACAUGAACAGCAACUAUACACAUGAACGUCAUCAGACAGAAUACACAGGAAUCAAAUCGACUACAUCCAUGGAAAGAGACAAUGGAGAAGCUCAAUAUCAUCUGUCAGAACAACACCAGGGGCCAGCUGUGGAACAGACCAUUGUUGCUCCUAUGUAAGUUCAAGUUGAAGCUGAAGAAAAUUAAAACAAGUCCAUGUGAGUCAAAGUACGACCUUGAGCAUAUCCCACCUGAAUUUAGAGACCAUUUCAAGUACAGGUUUGAUACAUUGAACACUAAUGGACAGAAGACCAGACGAGUUAUGGGAUGACAUCAAGGACAUCAUACGUGAAGAAAGCAAAGGUUAUUAAUAAGACAGAAGAGAAACUUGCUCUUGAAUGUAGAGUAGCUGAAGCUAAAGGAAGACAUGAUGAAGUAAAAGAGCUGAAUAAAACACUAAUGACGUAUAACACUGCAGCCAGAAUAGUUCACAUUUACUGAGCAGUUGGUAGGUGCCAUCCGUUUGGUUCCCACUCAUAGCGACUGUCUGUGUAGCAGAAUUAAAUGCCCAGUCCUGUGCCAUCCUCA